ensembl:lncRNA
CAGAACGAGAGUUGGGCAGCAAAGGCAGCAGAGAUGCUUGAGGGAAAAGGGCAGAAAGAGUAGAUCCGUGCAUGCUGCUUCGUGUGAGAACUUGUGAGAACUCUUCAGCUAUUGCAGAGCCUCUGGAAGCGUAGCUGUCAUCAUAUGCCUCCUGUUGGAAUUGGCGAACGGCAGGCACUCACUUUUUAGUCAGCAAAGCAAGCAGAGAGAAGAGGAAAAUGUCAUUGUGUGACCAGAUGUCCAAUGAGUACCACGAUCCUAAAUAUAAAAUUGAGUAUUUUAUAGCUGAGUAUUUUAAGCGUUUUCACCCUAUCUGGUGCAAAUACCUGAAGUAUUUCCACGAAUGUAAGUUUAUCUAUUCAUUAUUUUAUGUGCUGUAUGUGAUUCCAUUAUGUUUUCAGAUAAAUAUGUAAGGAAAGGAUUAGUCCUUGACCCAGAGGGACAUUAUAGGACAGAACUUGAAAGGCAACCCAAGGCUGCGCUUUUUCUUUUUAGCACAAUGUAAGUCACUUGUUCAGUUCCAUGCAUAAAUGAGGAAGUUAAAGCAGUUGUUAACGUGGCCAAGGCUUGCUGUGCUGUUCUUCAGAACAGGUUUGCACAGUAAAACAGCACAGAACCACAGGAGUCCUUGUUUUCCAUGGACAUGCAUUCUGGAAUGGCUUAUCUGGAGUAUACCUGACUUUAAUUCUUCCUUUAUUGUGUUAGUAGGAGAUGAGUACAAUCACUUUGCUGCUGCCUGUUUCUCUUGCUGUACUCUCUCCCUCUUUGUCUUCAGCAGUGUCUUACUGAGCUUUAUAAAUAAUUGAUUGAAUGCUGUUUGGAGGCUGCAGUGGUUUCGGGGAUUUAGGAGGCCCCAGUACCCCUUGGAAUAAGGAAAUCAAUCUUGGAAGGAACCAGUCCCAUUUCAUUCAGGCUCCACUCUGAUUCAUCUCCUCCAACUUACGAUAGCUAUUGUGGCACCAGAUGGAAAGAAACACCUGUUUUUAUUACGCCUCAGUUUUCCUGAGGUCCCUAAGUCAGGUCUGGAUUUUUAUCUCAGGUCUUGGAAGUGGCCCUGUCUGCACGUGGUUCGAGGUGCUUCAGGGUGUUACAGUCUUUCCACUCUCCUAUAAGUGCAAAUGGAAAGCUUAGAAAUGGUCCUACUCUGUUGUAACGUACCUGUCAUCGCAGUAUCCAGGCACCUGCCUUUCUGCUCCUCAGAAGCCUUGUGGGAGUGCAUUAAUUAACGCUUGUAAAAUGCUUGGAGGUCCUAGGAUGGUAGGUGCUAAUGAGUUGUAAGACAUUAUAAUCGUGUUGCAGAAUAUGCAGCCCAUCUCUUAGUGCAGAAAGACUUGCAGCUUUCCUUCGUUGCUUUCAUGCUUCUGGAUGCAUAUUUUGCAAGAGAAGGUAAUUCUAAACAGGAAAGAAGUAACGAACAAGAUGGAAGGAUUGCUAAUGCUGGUGCUUUUGUUGAGGAAGCGGCCGUUUCUAUGUGCUUCUUCGCUUAUUCCAUUUUCUUUUUGUCUCUCUGAUAAACCCAUACUUCAGUGGCUCGUUGAGAAUUCUCUGAAUGUUCGGAAAUGUCAGGGGAGAAGAUUUGCUGCUUCAGAUUGCCAGGGCCUUCAUUUGCAUCGCCUAAAUCAAUUCUCACACAUGAUCAAAGCACUUCUAGAAACAUUCAAGUGCAGGCAAAACCAGUCCCCUAAUUCUUUCUCCUCUAAUAUAUACACCCAGGUUCCAAAGCAUUAAAAAGGACAAAAUUAUCAGCCACCAAAUUUAAAAAUGCUUUAAUUUAAUGCCUCUUUAUGUUGAGAAUAUUGCAACUCUGUAUGUUUAGGGAUAGCAAGGCUAGGAAAGAUGUAGGUGGGAGUGGAGGGACCUGCAGUGGAGCUGAAAUACAGAUUCUAAGAAACUGCUCUGUUGUUGUCUGCAUGUAAUAUUUUGCUUGGCUGUGCAUGCAACUCUAUCAUGAGCUUAAUUACUUUACAGCAUAGUCUCUAUGGCAAUUGGUCUCCUUUCAGCACCGGUUUCAGGGCAGCUGUGAUAAAGCAAAUGCUCCAUAGAUGAGAUGCAGCUGGGUUCUGGGUUUGACUUCUCUUUAAAAGCAGUCAUAUUUGGGAAGUAAGCUAAUGUGCAUACAUUAAUUGAAGGAGUGAGACAAAAAUCAAGCCAAGGCCAGUUCUAUUCUCUUUAAAUAAAGACCCAACCAUUUUCUCAACCCACUUCCAGACUAUUUGAAGCCUGAACCCUCUUUCCCCUCAGCUCCCCUUUGGAAUAAGGGUCCAGAAUUACUAUCUAGAUACAGGGCAUGCUGAGUGCACUCAAAAUCAGUUAUGAGCCUGAGAUGUAACAGUCAGACACAGAUUUGCUGGUUACUUCAUUCAACGUGUCUCACAUCCCUCUCUAUGUGCGAUAUGCACCGUCCUCCUUCGAGCAGCAAGCAGGCUACCGCAUUCAUCUUUACCUAUCACCUUAUCUUUUCAUUUCUGGCUGCUCAGCUCCAUUCUGAAAAGUGCAAUAAAUACGUGUCCCCCUGGGUCCUUGCAAGCUGGGCAUUAGUCACACCAUGCGUUUCAAGGGCAUCAGUCUGAUAGUUUUUCAGCUGUAACAGAAAACAUGUUCUGCCAGGAGCCAUUUGUUCCAGUUUUGUUGCUUACUAAUAAAAUCAAAAUCAAUGUGUUUUUUGAGCUCGAGAAGCAGGUCGGAGAGUAGGAGGGAGAUAGGUGGUAAAAAUGGAGGUGCUGAAGUUGGAUCUUGUGAGUUUCUCAUGAAAUAAUGGCAUGUGGCAUUUCAGAGCAAGUGAGAAGCUCUGGCAGCUUGUGAAAGGCAGUCACCUCUGGCAAGCAGCAGAGCGGCUGCUUAACAGCAAAUAGGACUGGUGCAUAGCUUCACAUUGGGCAAUUUAAAUCCAAUUCUGUAAUAUGAAAGGCAUUGAGAGGGUGUUUUAUUUGCCGUGCUUCUGGAUUAAGUGCCAGUGGAACAUCCGUGGUGACACGGAUCGCUUCCAAUUUCUCGUCUCUGCUGCAGAUGGAGUGCUCCCAUAUCACCAGUUCCUCAACCACUGACGUGCCAGUUCAAACCAGUUAGUCAUCUACCCAAGCAAAAUCAUCUAGCUGAGCUUAAAAUAUGGCCUGUUGGCUUUACUGAAUCAGUGCCUUAGUCACAGCUGCUUCGGAGGAGUUUUGCUCAGAGGAAGAUGCAAUCAAUGCCUUCUCUUGCCUUGGAAUUUUCCCAGUUUCGUCAUGACUGAUUCAGCUGAUGAAUUUCUCUGAGCUGACACUGUCGCCCUGCAAUAAAUGAAGCUUACCUGGACACGGCAAUUCUUCUCUCAACAAUGUCUGUUUUCUUUGGAAUCGUUUAGAUGAGUCAGGAUGGUAACACCGCAGCCCCCUCCUCGCUGUGGUCAGAGGUCCCUGGAGGUUUUCAGAAGGGUAACUGCGUGGUGCUGAGGGAUAGAGGGGAUGGGGAUGGGCUGGGGGUGUGCUGGAUGCUCUUGGUAAUCUUUUCCAACCUUUAUGAUUCUAAAGGCGGAGCGCUCUUCCCCAUGUGAAUGUGUUAGAGUGGACUAUGGGGCGAAUUCUGCUCUUCCUCUGUCAAGAUGAGUGAGCCUGGACUGAUCUGCAGUUUAAAGGUAAACAUUAUUUUGCAGAAAUUGGGUUAGAUUAGGGGUUUGUAUGUGCCUGCAUGCCAGCUGCCCACUGACUUCUAGGACCCCUUCAGAUACCUUUUUAUUGGUAUUCAAA